rnacentral:rRNA from 1 species
UACGUAGGGUGCGAGCGUUAAUCGGAAUUACUGGGCGUAAAGCGUGCGCAGGCGGGUUUGUAAGACAGAUGUGAAAGCCCCGGGCUUAACCUGGGAAUGGCAUUUGGGACUGCAAGGCUGGAGUGUGGCAGAGGAGACUGGAAUUCCUGGUGUAGCAGUGAAAUGCGUAGAUAUCAGGAGGAAUACCGAUGGCGAAGGCAGGUCUCUGGGCUGACACUGACGCUCAUGCACGAAAGCGUGGGGAGCAAACAGG